GGAUGUGAGGGUGAUAUGGCUGUGACACUUGUCACCCCAUUGAUGGCUAGGGUUGAUUCGGUUUAUCUGGCUGGCUAGGCGGGUGUCCCCUUCCUCCCUCACUGCUCCAUGUGCAUCCCUCCUGAAGCCGCAUGCUGGGUUGAAGAGGACGACUUUCCCCGAUAGAGGAGGAUUGUUCUUCAGUCAAGAGUAUAUGAGUAGCUGCAUUCCCCUGCUAGAACCUCAAAACAAGCUCUCAAGAUAUAAAUUGAAACAUCAAACAGUAAAAAUGGUGGGAUGGUGUUAAAGUAUAGAGUUUGUUUUGAUACUUUUCUUU
rnacentral:snRNA from 1 species